rnacentral:rRNA from 1 species
AUGAGGAGCACACAAAUCCUAUUCCUGGCAUUUGCCUUCUUGAUGCUAUCGUCAGCUAUGGCAACUUCUAAGCCAGUAUGCAACCAUAUCCUCAAAAAGGGACAUUGUAACAACAAUGAUUGCCGAGCGUACUGCAAGAAGUUCAUCCCCCCACCCGGUGGCCCAUCUCCCAAGUACAUACCCGAGGGAUGCCAAUGUUAUACAAUUAUUGGAUUUCAAAAUGAUAUAAUUUCAAAUCCAGUUUCAAUCAUCAUAUCAAGAAGUAAAAUAUAA